AGUGCAAUGGCAUAAGCCAGCUUGACUGCGAGCGUGACGGCGCGAGCAGGUGCGAAAGCAGGUCAUAGUGAUCCGGUGGUUCUGAAUGGAAGGGCCAUCGCUCAACGGAUAAAAGGUACUCCGGGGAUAACAGGCUGAUACCGCCCAAGAGUUCAUAUCGACGGCGGUGUUUGGCACCUCGAUGUCGGCUCAUCACAUCCUGGGGCUGAAGUAGGUCCCAAGGGUAUGGCUGUUCGCCAUUUAAAGUGGUACGCGAGCUGGGUUUAGAACGUCGUGAGACAGUUCGGUCCCUAUCUGCCGUGGGCGCUGGAGAACUGAGGGGGGCUGCUCCUAGUACGAGAGGACCGGAGUGGACGCAUCACUGGUGUUCGGGUUGUCAUGCCAAUGGCACUGCCCGGUAGCUAAAUGCGGAAGAGAUAAGUGCUGAAAGCAUCUAAGCACGAAACUUGCCCCGAGAUGAGUUCUCCCUGACUCCUUGAGAGUCCUGAAGGAACGUUGAAGACGACGACGUUGAUAGGCCGGGUGUGUAAGCGCAGCGAUGCGUUGAGCUAACCGGUACUAAUGAACCGUGAGGCUUAACCUUACAAC
rnacentral:rRNA from 1 species